UCUAUUAUGGCAGAAUAGUGCAAUGAAUUUAAGCUUCAUAUAUAAGUAAAACUUUUUUAGAA
rnacentral:tRNA from 1 species